rnacentral:rRNA from 1 species
AUUGAACGCUGGCGGCAGGCCUAACACAUGCAAGUCGAGCGGAUGAAGGGAGCUUGCUCCUGGAUUCAGCGGCGGACGGGUGAGUAAUGCCUAGGAAUCUGCCUGGUAGUGGGGGAUAACGUCCGGAAACGGGCGCUAAUACCGCAUACGUCCUGAGGGAGAAAGUGGGGGAUCUUCGGACCUCACGCUAUCAGAUGAGCCUAGGUCGGAUUAGCUAGUUGGUGGGGUAAAGGCCUACCAAGGCGACGAUCCGUAACUGGUCUGAGAGGAUGAUCAGUCACACUGGAACUGAGACACGGUCCAGACUCCUACGGGAGGCAGCAGUGGGGAAUAUUCGACAAUGGGCGAAAGCCUGAUCCAGCCAUGCCGCGUGUGUGAAGAAGGUCUUCGGAUUGUAAAACACUUUUAGUUGGGAGGAAGGGCAGUAAGUUAAAACCUUGCUGUUUUGACGGUACCAACAGAAUAAGCACCGGCUAACUUCGUG